rnacentral:misc_RNA from 1 species
CGCACAUUGCGCCCGCUAGUAUUCUGGCGGGCAUGCCUGUCCGAGCGUCAUUUCAACCCUCAGGCCCUGUUCUGCCUGGUGUUGGGGCACUCUACGGCGCUUCGGCGCCCGUAGGCCCUCAAGGUUAGUGGCGGGCUCGCUACGGCUCCGAGCGCAGUAGAUUUAUUUCUCGCUUUGGGCGCCGCCGCGGGUGACCGGCCAUUAAAACUAGGGAUCGUCUGCCCCCGCGGACCCCCUAUAACGCAUGGUUGACCUCGGAUCAGGUAGGAUUACCCGCUGAACUUAA